UGGGGAAUUUUGGACAAUGGGCGCAAGCCUGAUCCAGCCAUGCCGCGUGCGGGAAGAAGGCCUUCGGGUUGUAAACCGCUUUUGUCAGGGAAGAAAUCUUCUGAGUUAAUACCUCGGGAGGAUGACGGUACCUGAAGAAUAAGCACCGGCUAACUACGUGCCAGCAGCCGCGGUAAUACGUAGGGUGCAAGCGUUAAUCGGAAUACUGGGCGUAAAGCGUGCGCAGGCGGUUUUGUAAGACAGAGGUGAAAUCCCCGGGCUCAACCUGGGAACUGCCUUUGUGACUGCAAGGCUUGAGUGCGGCAGAGGGGGGCAUGGAAAUUCCGCGUGUAGCAGUGAAAAUUGCGUAGAUAUGCGGAGGAAUACCGAUGGCGAAGGCAAUCCCCUGGGCCUGCACUGACGCUCAUGCACGAAAGCGUGGGGAGCAAACAGGAUUAGAUACCCUGGUAGU
rnacentral:rRNA from 1 species